GAUGAACGCUGGCGGCGUGCUUAACACAUGCAAGUCGAACGAAGCAUCUUCACGGAAUUCCUUCGGGAAGGAAGCGAUUAUGACUGAGUGGCGGACGGGUGAGUAACGCGUGGAUAACCUGCCUCACACAGGGGGAUAACAGUUAGAAAUGACUGCUAAUACCGCAUAAGCGCACAGCACCGCAUGGUGCAGUGUGAAAAGCUCCGGCGGUGUGAGAUGGAUCCGCGUCUGAUUAGGCAGUUGGCGGGGUAGAGGCCCACCAAACCGACGAUCAGUAGCCGGCCUGAGAGGGUGACCGGCCACAUUGGGACUGAGACACGGCCCAGACUCCUACGGGAGGCAGCAGUGGGGAAUAUUGCACAAUGGGGGAAACCCUGAUGCAGCGACGCCGCGUGAGCGAAGAAGUAUCUCGGUAUGUAAAAGCUCUAUCAGCAGGGAAGAAGAAUGACGGUACCUGACUAAAAAGUAUCCGGCUAAAUACGUGCCAGCAGCCGCGGGAAUACGUAUGGGAGCAGGCGUAUCCGGGAUUUUCUGGGUGGAAAGGGAAGGGAGGCGGCAUGGCAAAUCUGAUGUGAAAAUCCGGGGCUUAACCCCGGACCUGCAUUGGAAACUGUCAGGCUGGAGUGUCGGAGAGGUAAGUGGAAUUCCUAGUGUAGCGGUGAAAUGCGUAGAUAUUAGGAGGAACACCAGUGGCGAAGGCGGCUUACUGGACGACAACUGACGCUGAGGCUCGAAAGCGUGGGGAGCAAACAGGAUUAGAUACCCUGGUAGUCCACGCCGUAAACGAGGAAUAAUAGGUGUCGGGGAGCAAAGCUCUUCGGUGCCGCAGCAAACGCCAGUAAGUAUUCCCCCUGGGGAGUACGUUCGCAAGAAUGAAACUCAAAGGAAUUGACGGGGACCCGCCCAAGCGGUGGAGCAUGUGGUUUAAUUUGAAGCAACGCGAAGAACCUUACCAGGCCUUGACAUCCGGAUGACGCAGGAGUAAUGUUCUGUUCCCUUCGGGGCAUCCGAGACAGGUGGUGCAUGGUUGUCGUCAGCUCGUGUCGUGAGAUGUUGGGUUAAGUCCCGCAACGAGCGCAACCCUUAUCCUUAGUAGCCAGCACUUCGGGUGGGCACUCUAGGGAGACUGCCAGGGACAACCUGGAGGAAGGUGGGGAUGACGUCAAAUCAUCAUGCCCCUUAUGGCCUGGGCUACACACGUGCUACAAUGGCGUAAACAAAGGGAAGCGAGCCUGUGAAGGGGAGCCAAUCCCAAAAAUAACGUCUCAGUUCGGAUUGUAGUCUGCAACUCGACUACAUGAAGCUGGAAUCGCUAGUAAUCGCGGAUCAGAAUGCCGCGGUGAAUAAAAUCCCGGGUCUUGCAC
rnacentral:rRNA from 1 species